UAGUAGAAUGCUAAAGGUAAGUCC
rnacentral:siRNA from 1 species